rnacentral:rRNA from 1 species
UAAUGCUUGGGAACUUGCCUUUGCGAGGGGGAUAACAGUUGGAAACGACUGCUAAUACCGCAUAAUGUCUACGGACCAAACGGGGCUUAGGCUUCGGCGCAGAGAGAGGCCCAAGUGAGAUUAGCUAGUUGGUGGGGUAAAGGCUCACCAAGGCGACGAUCUCUAGCUGUUCUGAGAGGAAGAUCAGCCACACUGGGACUGAGACACGGCCCAGACUCCUACGGGAGGCAGCAGUGGGGAAUAUUGCACAAUGGGGGGAACCCUGAUGCAGCCAUGCCGCGUGUGUGAAGAAGGCCUUCGGGUUGUAAAGCACUUUCAGUUGUGAGGAAAAGUGAGUAGUUAAUACCUGCUCACCGUGACGUUAACAACAGAAGAAGCACCGGCUAACUCCGUGCCAGCAGCCGCGGUAAUACGGAGGGUGCGAGCGUUAAUCGGAAUUACUGGGCGUAAAGCGCACGCAGGCGGUUUGUUAAGCUAGAUGUGAAAGCCCCGAGCUCAACUUGGGAUGGUCAUUUAGAACUGGCAGACUAGAGUCUUGGAGAGGGGAGUGGAAUUCCAGGUGUAGCGGUGAAAUGCGUAGAUAUCUGGAGGAACAUCAGUGGCGAAGGCGACUCCCUGGCCAAAGACUGACGCUCAUGUGCGAAAGUGUGGGUAGCGAACAGGAUUAGAUACCCUGGUAGUCCACACCGUAAACGCUGUCUACUAGCUGUUUGUGGCUUUAAGCCGUGAGUAGCGAAGCUAACGCGAUAAGUAGACCGCCUGGGGAGUACGGCCGCAAGGUUAAAACUCAAUGAAUUGACGGGGGCCCGCACAAGCGG